rnacentral:lncRNA from 1 species
CAUCACAGAGUAUUAAGAAGAAGACACAGACAGAAGGAUAACAUAAAGGCUGUGAUGAGGUCUCUCCUAGAAUCUGAGUUCUCAUUACCUGACCAACACAAUACCAGUGGAGGUGGUGCUGUGCCAGUUUCUAGGCCCAGGCAUUAUGAGCCUGGAAGCUUCCACUUACUGUUUCUUGGCACACUUUUUCUUAGAGCUCAGCCACAAUGCUGUGAAGAAGC